AAAAGACAGUAGAACGGGAAAAUUUCCCCGGUGGGCAGAGCAUUGAGCAGUGAACCUGACAUUUCCUGGGAGCUAAGAAAAUGGACAUUGUCCUGAAAAGGAUGUGAUUUUCCAGACCUUGGACUUUUCAGCAUGAGAGCAGCAUUGUCUGGCCAGAUUUCAGAGCUUCA
rnacentral:lncRNA from 1 species